AUUGAACGCUGGCGGCAUGCUUUACACAUGCAAGUCGAACGGUAACAGGCCUUCGGGUGCUGACGAGUGGCGAACGGGGGAGUAAUGCAUCGGAACGUACCCAGAGGUGGGGGAUAACGCAGCGAAAGCUGUGCUAAUACCGCAUGUGAUCUGAGGAUGAAAGCGGGGGACCGAGCAGCAAUGUUUGGCCUCGCGCCUUUGGAGCGGCCGAUGUCGGAUUAGCUAGUUGGUGGGGUAAAGGCCUACCAAGGCGACGAUCCGUAGCUGGUCUGAGAGGACGACCAGCCACACUGGGACUGAGACACGGCCCAGACUCCUACGGGAGGCAGCAGUGGGGAAUUUUGGACAAUGGGCGCAAGCCUGAUCCAGCAAUGCCGCGUGGGGGAAGAAGGCCUUCGGGUUGUAAACCGCUUUUGGCAGGAACGAAACGGUGUCCGCUAAUACCGCGCGCUAAUGACGGUACCUGAAGAAUAAGCACCGGCUAACUACGUG
rnacentral:rRNA from 1 species